CUUCAGCCUCCAAGGCUCCUAAAAUCAAUUCUAAGCUCCUAAGCAACAUGUCGUUGGUUUUACCAUAUCAGUUUGAGCCCGAGUCAGAUUCAGAAAAUGCGGAUGAUCGAGAGGAACCAACUUUGCAAACAUGACUUGACUUCACAGUGAUACCAGCUAUUCAUCAGAAACAACAACAACAAAAUGAUUGAUAUCCCCCCCCCAAGCAAGCAAACCCGUGACCCAGAAAUGCUAUGUCAGCCAUCUUGAAGGACAUAUGAAUUCGCUAAUUGCACCACGAGGAGGUGAGGAGCUAGGAGCUAGGAGCGAUACACAGGUGUAUCCUAUGCAAAAGUGUUUCUUGCUGAAAAACCUGAUGCACGUAUAAAUUCCCCUCCUGCUUUACAUCUGCCACAAUCUCAAACAAAAGGUCCUUUGAUGAUGUGAUGUAUGCUUACAGUGAGUAUUGUAAUUAAUUGAUACUUGCAUGUUUGGAUACGCAAAGCUGCACAAAAGAUGCGAUAAUUUAUGUAUUGUUUAUUCAUUCAUUGUUGAAUAACCCAGACAUUUCACAUACUAGAAAAGCAUUUUGCUUUAUUAAGAAUGUUGUUAUUAACCAAGCUCAAACAACAUAACAGCACAUUAAAAAUAAGCACAACAGCAGAUCCCUGAAGCGCAGUGAGGUCAUCCAGCUGAGCACAGUCAUCAUUAAUUGACGUCGCUUUUAAGUGACGCUUAAGAGAGCGAGGAUAUUCCAUUUGCUUCGAUUCUUCUCUCCUCACAUCUCAUCCUUGCAUCCUUCCCUCAUAUCCAAAGCGGGUGGAGCUAAGAUGCAAGGAAAGGAAGCGAGGAAAGGAAAUAAGAAAUGUGAAGCACCCAUUUCCUAAAACAUCUGUUUGGGAGGCUGGUAUUCUCCAACGUAAAUGAAAGUUGUCACAUGGCUCUGUCUGCUGUUAAAAAUAGAACUACUCAUCAGAAAACUCGCUUGCCAUCUACUGGUCAAAGGGUCAAAUUGUAGAAUAGGUGAAAUAUAUUCAAGAGCAGUAAUACACACAAAAUAAAGUAAGACUGCAUGAAUACAUUUCUUUGGAUGAGCAGUUAGUGUAUUCCUACUAUACAUUACAUUAUACAUUGUGUGAUGUAUACUUACAUACACAAACCUAGCUUCACUAUAAGUAAAUGUGUUCUUGUGUAUUUUUGUGGGCUAAUGUAGUAUUAUCUAAAUUCAUUAAUGGGACACUGACCAAAGUAUAAAAUGUAACCAUCCAUACAACUGGUGUAAACAUACAUACUCAUGUCUUACAGCGAUGAAGCAGUGGGCUCUGUGGCAAGAUUUCCCAUUGUGAAUGUAUGGUAUAUUUUUUAAAGCAAAUGGUAUAUGUUAAAGAAAUCACUGAAUAAAUCAGUAUGUUAAUGGUAUAUAUUAAAUAAAUCAUUGAAUAGAUCAGUAUGUUAAGGUUAAGCAAUCAAAAGUAAGAUCCAAUCAUGUGUAAUAUAUAAGAUCAUAAGAGAGAAUUUGUUUAUCAAAGAAGCUAAAAUCAUUGAGCGCCCAUUCUUCAGUUAUAAAUGUAUCUUUUCUAGUAGGCUUGCUCUGUUAUUUCUCAGAAAAAUCACCUGCACCUGUAUAAAAACACAGUUUGUACUCUGUCUUUUUAAGUCUGUAUCUUUGAAGACAAUGCAUUUCUACUCUUUCUUUUUAAGUUACCAGUUUGAUGUAAAGUGAUUUCUUAAGAUGUGUUGUUAAAAUCCAUGAUGUAAGUCAGUAAAAUAAAAGCUUCUUAGAAAAUAAACUGAUUGAACUAACGUCACUAUUAUAGAUAAGAUCUGAAGAAAGAAACGUAAUUGCUGUCAGAAGUGUGAUCAAGAAAAUAUGGGAAAACCCCCACCUAAUGAGAUCAUUGUUUAAGUAUUGUAUAAAAGCAUGAACAUUGAUUGUACUUAUCAGAUGAUCUGUGGACUUUUAUGAUUCUUUAAUAAAAGUCUGA